GGACGAACGCUGGCGGCGUGCUUAACACAUGCAAGUCGAGCGAGGCCCUUCCUUCGGGAAGGUGUCCUAGCGGCGAACGGGUGAGUAACACGUGGGCAACCUGCCCUCAGCUCUGGGAUAACUCCGGGAAACCGGGGCUAAUACCGGAUACGACCUCUAAGGGCAUCCGAAGAGGUGGAAAGUUUUUCGGCUGAGGAUGGGCCCGCGGCCUAUCAGCUUGUUGGUGGGGUGACGGCCUACCAAGGCGACGACGGGUAGCCGGCCUGAGAGGGUGACCGGCCACACUGGGACUGAGACACGGCCCAGACUCCUACGGGAGGCAGCAGUGGGGAAUCUUGCACAAUGGGGGAAACCCUGAUGCAGCGACGCCGCGUGAGCGAUGAAGGCCUUC
rnacentral:rRNA from 1 species